CACGUAGGAGGCGAGCGUUGUCCGGAAUUAUUGGGCGUAAAGGGCGCGUAGGCGGUUUGUUAAGUCGGCUGUGAAAGCCCGGGGCUCAACCCCGGAGGGUCAGCCGAUACUGGCAGACUAGAGUACGGAAGAGGUAGCUGGAAUUCCCGGUGUAGCGGUGAAAUGCGCAGAUAUCGGGAGGAACACCAGUAGCGAAGGCGGCUCGCUGGGCCAUUCCUGACGCUGAGACGCGAAAGCUAGGGGAGCGAACAGG
rnacentral:rRNA from 1 species